AGUUCCACCUACAACCUCAGGUCCUCAGACUGACAAGCCCAAGAAACAUCUCACCAAUUUCAAAUCCGCCUAGGCUACAGAAUGAGAUGCACGUAAGAAGUCUGUGACCUGGACCAGAGCAGCCCAGCUGAACACAUGCUGGAUUGGAAGAACCACCUUUGACCUGAAGACCUGUGAGUGAGAAUAAAUGCUGUUUGAGAAAGGAGUUUGGAGACAGAAAGACGGAAGAGUUGAUAUUCCGCUCACAGAUGUCAAUUUUCAAAGAAAUUUCUGCCCAUUAUGGAUGCACCACAAAUACUAAAGUCUAUGCAAUAUAUAUUUUGAAAAGAAUUUUUUUCGUGAAACUGUAAUUUUCGUUCAUAAGAGUAUAUUUCCUGACUUAGCAUUUUAUUGACUAGAUUAAAAUUUUGUUCCCCAAAGUAA
rnacentral:lncRNA from 1 species